CUGUCCUGGCAACAGCUCACUCCAUGAAACCAACGAGUGCCCUGUGGGUCAUUACUGCCCAAAUGGCACCUCCUAUCAGUACCAGUACCCAUGCCCUGCUGGGACCAGCAACCCACACACUAGGAUGGGCAGUCCACAGGACUGCCUGCCAUGCCCCCCAGGUUUUUUUUGUGCCUUUCCGGGCCUGAGUGCCGUAUCGGGCCAAUGCAUCGCUGGCUAUCUUUGCCACUCUGGAGCAGUAUCCCCGGAACCAGAAGACGGUGUGACCGGUGAGCGGUGUCCCCAAGGUCAUUACUGUCCAGAGGGCUUGGCUACAGCGCCACGUCCCUGUCCUCUAGGAUAUUAUAGCAACACCACCAGGAACACACAACUCUCUGACUGCCUGCCCUGCCCUGCAGGGUUCAUUUGUGCCAGCAGAGGGCUCUCCAUCCCUUCUAAUCUCUGCCAGGCUGGCUCCUACUGCCCUUACAGACACAACUCCAGCCUCCCUGGCUCUAUCACCUGCUCAGCUGGGCAUAUGUGCCCACUUGGCAGUGCCAUCCAGGUUCCCUGUGUGCCAGGGACUUACCAGGAUCAA